AUCAGUGGGUCGCAGCCCGAAGGAGCAUCAAGUUCUUACUUAAUAACGUUUCCACCAUCGCUGAACGUGCAGAUUUUAAUCUUUUAAUGAAGUCGUGGAUGAAAUGCAGAGCGAUUAUCCCUUCGAGUUCUGACCGUGUUGGGUACAGAAAGCCCGAGUCAGAGAAGAGAAAGGCAAAUAUAGACGUGUGGAAGCGGAAGUGGAAACUGUGAACUAGGUCAGAAAGGACGACUGAAGAACCAGAGGCAGAGGAAUGAUAAAACACGAUGAUAUGAGAGGCUACAGUCAGGGUAUUUUAGGCUAAAUGCUAUCAGCCAUGCAGACUUUUAGCAGGUACAAUGUCUCUGAACAGCGUGUUAGCAUGCUAGUCUUUGCUAACAAGCACAAAAUCAGUGCUAACGGUAGCUCUGCUAAACUCGCACGAGGUUUGUACACGUUGCUGCUGGAUUCAACUGAUUGUGUUUGAAGACAUGACACCCUCGUUAAGAUCUUUUUCAGUUUGACGUUCCUGUACGAUCCAGUUUCUCUGCCUUCUGAGCGAAUCACCUCACGCUGACCCUCAGAAACACUUCAAGCUGGGAACCAAAGUGCAGCGAGUAUCUGCUGGAAUGCCAACAAUGUGUGCGAGCUGUGUUAACACUCGGCUGCAGAACAUGUGGAGGAGCUGAAGCUGCAGAGCGGCGCAGGAUUCCUCCGACCGACAAGUGCAGACGACCUCCAAACAUCUUCGUCUUUGAUUCAACUAUCAAAAUAACGUUUGCCCUGACGCGCGCUGUGUUUGUGUUAGCGCCAGGACACACUGCACAGGAAUGGAAGAAACAAGUGGCGACGAACGCCGACUGCUGUGUCGCCUCGCGUCGACUGCGUCCCGGACAGAAAGCUGCACUUGAACACACCGCGAGGACUCCAGCCGACAACCAACCAAAUGUGCUGAAGUCUGAAUUCAUCACUCAGAAAGGGAAAUCCGUAGACUGUGGAUGUGCAAGCUGCUGUUAUGAUAAAGAAGCAGUUUUUGAUCAAAGUACACGUCUGAUAAAAAAAGUUGUAAAUGACAUGAGCACAUUAAUGGAGGUGAGAUCAUGGAUACGACAGCGACGAGCUCAUUCGGUGUUCCCUUUCUUUUUGCUGCUGCUCCGCUGAUUGUACGUGCACAAUCGGCCAAAAAGACGCCAACAAGGAAGACUAGCGGCAACGGUGCAGGACAAACCACAACGAUUAGAGCCACAGACGCUGAAUGACGGUCCAAACAUUGGUGUUUCCGGACCCUUAAACUCAAAGCAAAGCUGAUGGUGACGGGAAUCUGACAAAGCCAGAAUAAAGGAAACAGGGCGACGAAUAAAUCAACAAGUGGAGAUGAGAUAGACUCGAGUGUUGUAAGCCAACUUUCAUGGAAGGAAACUCUUUAUAUCGGUUCAUCAGAGUAAAAUAAAUCAACAUAACGCCUUCUCCCAAACAGAAACAUGUGCACAGACAUGAUGUCAGACUGAGUGAUGACGUGUCAAGAGAAAAGGGAGUUUCAGUCUGAUUUGUCUCAUUAAAAAGUCAGAGGAAAGUCAAACUAAACCCAGCGACAAGCUGCACCGUGAGGAUCCGACAUGAACGCCUUUAAAACAGCUAAAACUUUAUUCAGCCGAGCCGGAGCCUGCAUCAGAUAACCGGACUGUGUAUCUCUCUGGGACCACUUAUCAUCUGUUGUAACAGCACUGAGACUCCAGGCUGGCACUUUGUUUUCGCUGCUGCGCUGUUAUUGUCCGUGUCAGCAUAGUAAGACGGAUCGCAGGCCUUGGAGGGCUCCAGCUAUCUGGGUCUUAUCUGACGGGAGGCGAGCCCAGCAGCCAAGGCCUCGCGUCUGGACUGUGCUGCAGCUCUCACGGCGGGCCGGCUUCAUGUGUCAGACUCGUCAUUCCUAACAGAGUGCGAACACCGUCUGGCUGCUUGUCUCCACACGCGUUCAUCAUUCGUUCCAUAAUGUCGGAUCCCUCCCUCCCUCCCGCUCAGCUCCCGAGGAGGGCGAAUCCCCGGACAGAAUGACCUCGCUGCAGAAAAAUGUCCUGGUUCUCACAAGGAGACGAGUGCAGCUCACAACAAUCCCUGACCCAGAUUCAAGACAUCGAUCCCUAAAAACCUUUAUUCUAAUCAGGGAGGCGACGAGAGGGGGACGGGAAGGAAGAAAAGGUAGCAAAACAACCUGCAGCGUGAGGGAGGGGAGGAGGAAAUCCUGACGUGAUUAAAGCUGGCUUGUUUUUCCUGACCGGCUUAUUAUCACAUUCAACAAAAAGGAGAAGCCGAGAAGUUGGACUCAGGGAAUGUUGGAAAAAAAGUGACCAAUUAUCAGAGAAGUUGAGGAUUAAUUAAACAUCUGUUCCUGCUGAGCAGAGAGGUGGAGGCCUCAUCCAGCCGAACCCUGAAGGCAGAUCGUCUCUGAGCCGAGUCAAAGGGACGAAGUGAUUAAUGAGAUACUUUAGUUGGAAAAGGAAGGAAUUUGCCUCAAAAACAGGGGCUGCACAGACUUGAAGUGGAUGGGAUGUUAAAGCUCCUGAAUAUGCAGCUUCUUUUCUUUGAAAUGAAAGUGUGACGGGGUGGAGAGAUGGUUAAUGGAUGUAAACAACAGGAUGUGAGAGAAUAACAGUAGGCGUGAUCUCCAGCCGGGCCGCGAGUGUUUACCCUCAGCCCACAGCCGACGACAGGAAUACACACACGCGUUAAACAAACAGAAAUCAAAGCAGAUCCAUUACAAACCGGUUUGCAGGCCUUAAUUUCCAUUUCCUGUCUAACACCGCCGACCCUCGACCUCUUUUCGGUCUCAUUAACGCUUCACGCCUGAAUAAAAAGAAGUCCGAAGUUAUGCUGAGGCACGACAGGAAGCGGGUCAAAAAUAGAAAAUGUCACGGGGGAGAUGUCGACUUCACCGAGCGGUCACUAAGUCGGGCGUUAUCAGCGGCUCGCCGUGCUGAUAUUAGAGCGUGUGUGUGUGUGUGUGUGUGUGUGUGUGUGUGUGUGUGUGUGUGUGUGUGUGUGUGUGUGUGUGUGUGAAUUAGUAAUAGAGAUAAACAGAAGGCCUCAGAGUGAGAUGGUAUGAAACAGACCAGGAGGAUGACAAAUGGAAAAUGGUCUCUGUAUUUUCCUUCCAGGUCCCCCCUUCUUGUAAAAUCCCCCCCACAGUCUGGCUGGUGAGAUCCAAAAGGAAUCCCACCCCCAACACACACACACACACACACACACACACACACACACACACACACACGUAUAAACACAGAGUGGCACAAACUUUCCAGUCUCUGUCAUCAUGACCGAACACUCAGUACAACCCCCACUCUUCCCACAAAUAUCCAAACACACUGAACCCUCCAGAUGUUGCACAACGGCUCCUCUUCAGGGUAACACUCACACCAGCUACGAAUGACUCAGACAUCGUGCUUUUGUAGCUAUAAGACAUAAGAAGAUGUAGCUGGCAGUAAUGUAAAUAUAUUCAUAGAAGAAGAGGAGGUCAAACUGGGUGUCGCUAACUUCGGAUAAAACUCGGGUGCUGAGCAGGACGCAGGAACUUCGCUUUCGAUCUUAAAGAGUCGUAUCGUUGAUUUGUGAUUACAGCUAUGAUGUUAGCUUCCCGCUAACUUCAUGCUAACUCUCACACGCUGCACACUCGCUAACGUCACGCACGACCUAUGUACGGAGUUAUUCCUGAAGCUUGGUAAAACAACCUGUAAAUAUAUUUUUAAUAAAGUUCCCAAAGCACAUGAGCGACAGGAGUGUUUUAAUUAAUAACCGUAACGAUCCUGUGAUCAUUUAGAUUUAAGUUCAUUAUAAUUAUGGGUCUUUUAGCGUCGGUGCGACUCCACUUCCUGUCCCCAAACACAGCUGCAGAGAGACUGUUUGUGCCAAAGACAAGCACAGCUGCCUCCUGAUGUCUCUCGCCCUCUCUCUCCAUCCUGAGUGUGUAAACUGGGUCAGCACACACACACGCACACACACACACACACACACACACACACACACACACACACAUAACUUUUUCCAGCUCUCCACUGUAACACUGACUGUUCUUUGAGUACCAUCACACACACACAUUAGCAGACGGGGUAGUGAACUCCCUCACCCUCCUGCUCACACAGAUUUAAGUUUUUCCAGCUUUCUUUUGUGUUUUGUCUCCACUGAAUCUUCCUUUUCAUCAACUCUCACUAGAUUAAAUCACUUCACCUCGACAGGUUUCAUCUCCUAAUCACUUCAAACUGCUCCUGUCUUUAACCGAGAGCCUCUCGAGCGCUUUUCUUUGUGUUUAUCUGGAU